CUCUCAAAACAAAGUAUGGAAAUUCCUAAAACCACAUGAGAGCGGUUCUGAAGAAAGGUCAACAGACUCGAAACGUUGAUUCUGCUUUCCCUGCACAGUCAGGCCUGCUGAGUUUCUCCAGCGAUUUCUGCUUUUAUUCAAGGUCAACAGCACUGGUGCCAGACUGAAAGACACGAAAGGUGAAAAAAGUUGACAACCACACAGGAGCAUGGAGGUUUGAUUCUAUGUGCAAGGCUACAAAAGGCAUGGUGUGAUUCGUACUGAUCCAGUACCAAUGAUUUCAAAUCAAGCUACCAACAGAUUAAGGUGUAGAGAAAAGCGAACGCCGACAAAUCUUCAUGGAUGAGAAACGAUCAUUCAGGGUCAUAUUCGUCUGCAACAGAACAGAUUGUUGGAAAUAAAUAAACUGCUGGGAGAAGUACAAACUGCUCGAAGAUACUCGGCAUGGAUUUGUAAAGCAAAGGUCGGAUAUGAAUAAUCCAGUUGAAUUUUGGAGGGCUCUGGUGGUUAGGAAAAUAUCUACAUUUAUAGCUAUCUAGGCUUUCAAAAGGUC